GGCGGACCGAGGCAAACACAGCACAGGGCAGAGCAGAGGGCGAUCCAAAGGCUGGCGAAUUGAUUAUGUGGAUGUGUGUGAGCAGACGUCCCUCUGUCACCCUGUGUACGGACAGACGCACUCACGCCAGUAGGAGGGGAUUGUGGGAAGGGGGUGUAGCUCUCAGAGGGUGUGCUCUACUCCUCUCUUUUCCCUUCUUCCCGCCAUCACGGCCCUCUUCUCCUCCAGUCCUCCGGCCCAGCCCGCCGCUCACGUACAGGCUCCAGGAGAGUUACCUUUGUGGAUCUUUGAUGCUGAAGCAACGUGGAUGCUGUCCUUGGGCCUGAGGUAGUAGAUUGAAUAGUUGUGGGGUUGUGUGACCUCUUUUUGAGAUAACUAUACAAUCUACUGUCUUUCCCAAGGAGACAGCUGAGUCAGCCACUCGCCGACUGUCAUCUCCAGAUGGGCAAUCAUGCCGUCCAAUCAAAACAUACGCUUGCAGAAAUCAACAUAAUGCGCCGUGACAAGCAUUGUGUCUUGCUUUGUUUUGCUAGAGCAGGUGGAUGAGGUUUCAUGUUCCCCCACAGGACGUGAACGUGUGGUGUGUUUGAUUUGAGCUCUGUCAGGGUGAGGUAGUAGGUUGUAUAGUUUGGUGGGUGGGAUUGCACCCUGCUCAGGUGAUAACUAUACAGUCUAUUGCCUUCCCUGAGGAGCUCACUGAACACGCAUGAAUGUCCCAACGCACUUCUCGUGGCAGAGUGUCACAUUUAUUCAUACAUUUCAGGAAAAAAAAAGAGCAACUAAAUAUGUGCUGUUAAAGCUUUGCAAUGCAUUGAUUGAAGCUGUCGUAUGAUAUACAGAAGAAAUGUACAUCUUAAUAAACCCACACUUGCCUCAAAUCAGUUGUCCAAAAAUCAGUGAAUGAAAGAUCCUGACAUUGUUUGUUCGUCAUGUGCUGCAAUUCUGAUGGUGUCGUGGUCUGUGUGUAGCAGCUGCUGUUGUGUUUGUUAGUGUCGAGCACCCUCUAGUGGAGAUUCAUGAGAUAGCUUUGACUCAAAUAAAGUUUGCAGACGAGGGGUAGGUGACUAAGAGUGCAGGGUUUCACUCAAUCCAGACACUACACUCAGACACUCACUGGCUGCCUGUAUGUUCUCAGCUGAUUGUCUCUAAUAAAGCCUGAAAUGUCUGGUGGACACAGUGAUCGUCCCAUUUU